rnacentral:SRP_RNA from 1 species
GACGGGUGCAGUGGCGCGCGCCUGUAAUCCAAGCUGCUGGGAGGCUGAGGCUGGCGGAUCGCUUGAGUUCAGGAGUUCUGGACCGCAGUGGACUAUGUCGAUCGGGUGUCCUUGCUAAAUUCGGUGUCGAUAUGGUGCUCCUGGGGGAACUCGGGAUCACCAGGUCGUCUAAGGAGGGGUGAACCGGCCCAGGACGGAGCAGGUCAAAGCCCCCGUGCCGAUCAGUAGUGGGGUCGCGCCUGUAAAUAGACACUGUAGGGCAGCCUGAGCGAGACUCGGACUUUUGCGUCU